UUAUGAUCAUAUCACGUUGAAAAACCGGUUCUCGUAGGAUCAUCGAAGUUAAGCAACGUCGAGACUGGUUAGUAUUUGGAUGGGUGACCGCU